AGGGCGUCACUGGGCUAAACAGUAGGGCGUCACUGGGCUCAGGCUAAACAGUUGGGCGUCACUGGGCUCAGGCUAAACAGUUGGGCGUCACUGGGCUAAACAGUUGGGCGUCACUGGGCUCAGGCUAAACAAUAGGGCGUCACUGGGCUAAACAGUAGGGCGUCACUGGGCAAAACAGUAUGGCGUCACUGGGCUAAACAGUAGGGCGUCACUGGGCUAAACAGUUGGGCGUCACUGGGCUAAACAGUAGGGCGUCACUGGGCUAAACAGUAGGGCGUCACUGGGCUAAACAGUAGGGCGUCACUGGGCUAAACAGUAGGGCGCCACUGGGCUCAGGUUAAACAGUAGGACGUCACUGGGCUCAGGUUAAACAGUAGGCGUCACUGGGCUAAACAUAUAGGGCAUCACUGGGCUAAACAUAUAGGGCGUCACUGGGCUAAACAGUUGGGCGUCACUGGGCUCAGGCUAAACAGUUGGGCGUCACUGGGCUUAGGCUAAACAGUAGGGCGUCACUGGGCUCAGGCUAAACAGUAGGGCGUCACUGGGCUCAGGCUAAACAGUAGGGCGUCACUGGGCUCAGGCUAAACAGUUGGGCGUCACUGGGCUCAGGCUAAACAGUUGGGCGUCACUGGGCUCAGGCUAAACAGUUGGGCGUCACUGGGCUCAGGCUAAACAAUACGGCGUCACUGGGCUCAGGCUAAAAGUAGGGCGUCACUGGGCUCAGGCUAAACAGUAGGACGUCACUGGGCUCAGGUUAAACAGUAGGCGUCACUGGGCUAAACAUAUAGGGCGUCACUGGGCUAAACAUAAAGGUCGUCACUGGGCUAAACAUAUAGGGCGUCACUGGGCUAAACAGUUGGGCGUCACUGGGCUAAACAGUUGGGCGUCACUGGGCUCGGGCUAAACAGUAGGGUGUCACUGGGCUCAGGCUAAACAGUUGGGCGUCACUGGGCUCAGGCUAAACAGUUGAGCGUCACUGGGCUCAGGCUAAACAGUUGGGCGUCACUGGGCUCAGGCUAAACAGUAGGGCGUCACUGGGCUCAGGCUAAACAGUUGGGCGUCACUGGGCUCAGGCUAAACAGUAGGGCGUCACUGGGCUCAGGCUAAACAGUUGGGCGUCACUGGGCUCAAGUUAAACAGUAGGGCGUCACUGGGCUCAGGCUAAACAAUACGGCGUCACUGGGCUCAGGCUAAACAGUAGGGCGUCACUGGGCUCAGGCUAAACAGUAGGGCGUCACUGGGCUCAGGCUAAACAAUACGGCGUCACUGGGCUCAGGCUAAAAAGUAGGGCGUCACUGGGCUCAGGCUAAACAGUAGGGCGUCACUGGGCUCAGGCUAAACAAUACGGCGUCACUGGGCUCAGGCUAAAAAGUAGGGCGUCACUGGGCUCAGGCUAAACAGUAGGGCGUCACUGGGCUCAGGCUAAACAGUAGGACGUCACUGGGCUCAGGUUAAACAGUAGGCGUCACUGGGCUCAGGUUAAACAGUAGGCGUCACUGGGCUCAGGUUAAACAGUAGGCGUCACUGGGCUAAACAUAUAGGGCGUCACUGGGCUAAACAUAUCGGGCGUCACUGGGCUAAACAAAGGUCGUCACUGGGCUAAACAUAUAGGGCGUCACUGGGCUAAACAUAUAGGGCGUCACUGGGCUAAACAUAUAGGGCGUCACUGGGCUAAACAUAUAGGGUGUCACUGGGCUAAACAUAAAGGGCGUCACUGGGCUAAACAUAUAGGGCGUCACUGGGCUCAGGCUAAACAGUAGGGCGUCACUGGGCUCAGGCUAAACAGUAGGGCGUCACUGGGCUCAGGCUAAACAGUAGGGCGUCACUGGGCUCAGGCUAAACAGUAGGGCGUCACUGGGCUCAGGCUAAACAGGUGGGCGUCACUGGGCUCAGGCUAAACAGGUGGGCGUCACUGGGCUCAGGCUAAACAGUUGGGCGCCCCGGGGUCAGGAUAAACAGUAGGGCGUCACUGGGCUCAGGCUAAACAAUACGGCGUCACUGGGCUCAGGCUAAACAGUAGGGCGUCACUGGGCUCAGGCUAAACAGUAGGACGUCACUGGGCUCAGGUUAAACAGUAGGCGUCACUGGGCUAAACAUAAAGGUUGUCACUGGGCUAAACAUAUAGGGCGUCACUGGGCUAAACAUAUAGGGUGUCACUGGGCUAAACAGUUGGGCGUCACUGGGCUCAGAAUAGACAGUUGGGCGUCACUGGGCUCAGAAUAAACAUUGGGCGUCACUGGGCUCAGGCUAAACAGUUGGGCGUCACUGGGCUCAGGCUAAACAGUAGGGCGUCACUGGGCUCAGGCUAAACAGUUGGGCGUCACUGGGCUAAACAGUAGGGCGUCACUGGGCUCAGGCUAAACAGUAGGGCGUCACUGGGCUCAGGCUAAACAGUUGGGCGUCACUGGGCUCAGGCUAAACAAUACGGCGUCACUGGGCUCAGGCUAAACAGUUGGGCGUCACUGGGCUCAGGCUAAACAGUAGGGCGUCACUGGGCUCAGGCUAAACAGUAGGGCGUCACUGGGCUCAGGCUAAACAGUAGGGCGUCACUGGGCUCAGGCUAAACAAUACGGCGUCACUGGGCUCAGGCUAAACAGUAGGGCGUCACUGGGCUCAGGCUAAACAGUAGGCGUCACUGGGCUAAACAUAUAGGGUGUCACUGGGCUGAACAUAUAGGUCGUCACUGGGCUAAACAUAAAGGUCGUCACUGGGCUAAACAUAAAGGUCGUCACUGGGCUAAACAUAAAGGUCGUCACUGGGCUAAACAUAAAGGUCGUCACUGGGCUAAACAUAAAGGUCGUCACUGGGCUAAACAUAUAGGGCGUCACUGGGCUAAACAUAUAGGGCGUCACUGGGCUCAGGCUAAACAGUUGGGCGUCACUGGGCUCAGAAUAAACAGUUGGGCGUCACUGGGCUCAGGCUAAACAGUUGGGCGUCACUGGGCUCAGGCUAAACAGUAGGGCGUCACUGGGCUCUGGUUAAACAGUAGGGCGUCACUGGGCUCAGGCUAAACAGUUGGGCGUCACUGGGCUCAGGCUAAACAGUAGGGCGUCACUGGGCUCAGGCCAAGGUCUCAUUUAG